rnacentral:rRNA from 1 species
UACGUAGGUGGCGAGCGUUGUCCGGAUUUACUGGGCGUAAAGGGAGCGUUGGCGGACUUUUAAGUGAGAUGUGAAAUACCCGGGCUCAACUUGGGUGCUGCAUUUCAAACUGGAAGUCUAGGGUGCAGGAGAGGAGAAUGGAAUUCCUAGUGUAGCGGUGAAAUGCGUAGAGAUUAGGAAGAACACCAGUGGCGAAGGCGAUUCUCUGGACUGUAACUGACGCUGAGGCUCGAAAGAGUGGGGAGCAAACAGGAUUAGAUACCCCGGUAGU